CGCCACCGAUGCCAACCCCUUCUCGUCCACUUGCUCCACAGGCUCCACACACUCCUUAUCCAUCAGAGGGAUCGAAUACGCCUGGAGCUGGAGGUUAAGGUGGUAAUCAAGUGUGGAGUCCGUUACGGCCUGCAACAUUUUCUUUUUGUUUGGACUAUAUUUUGCUAUCUUG